rnacentral:lncRNA from 1 species
CAGACCUUCUGGCACUUUCCCUGCUCAGGUUCUUCUGUGCUCCAGAGUGGCACCUGUUGGCAGUUCUGCUCCCGUGUGUCACACGCCCACACUCGGAGGGGAGGAGAGUCACUGGCUGGCUUCAUCAAGACGGAGCGUGGUGAGGCUUGGGAUAAAACACAAGUGAGGGAGGGCAGAGGGUGUCUCCCGUGCAUGGAAAAGUGGCCUGCAAACAUUUAUCCACAGAGACAUAGACAUUAGUGCACUGAGCACUGAUCAGAGAUGGGGUCAGAAGAUGCUGGUGCCUGGAAGCCUUGGUGAGCUGCUCCAUCCUUCAGAGACAGACACAGAAGAGGGUUUUAUGGCCGCGCUUGUCAGCGACUGUGUCGUGGUGUCAGCAUCUGGGAGUGAAGGGGACGGCUUGCAUCAUUUCUUCCCCGGGGAGGCGAGUUUGUUACUUGAAAAUCAACCAAGAUGGCAUCGGCUCAGGCAGUGGCCCUGUGAUUCACUAUCGAAUGGUUUGCUGGUUUCCAUUGUCUUUUCCCCCUGCAAUUAGCUUUCUUGAGCCAGAGAGUGAUUCUCCGCCUCUGGUGAUCGAGCAAUAUUUGCUGGGCUGGAGGAGAGGACAUCCACAUCUUCUGAUUUUCUAGCAGAGGCAUUCAGUCAGUGAAGCCUGAGAGCUCGCGCGAUCCCCGCGUGCGGGUCCACGCGCAUCCUUUGAUCUGCGGUAGAAUGUAGUAUGGUUGUUACUUAAGGAAGCAAAAAGCCCUCCCCAGGUACGUUUAGGGAAUGUGGGAGAAUACGUGACAUACCAAACAGAGGAUUGCUACUCAUCACACCUCGCACUGUCCGUGGCGAGGAAUUUGGCAGAAAAUCAGCAAUAGAAUGGCGAUAUGGAAGUAUAAUCUGCAGAAACAUACCCAGGACCGACAGAGCACAGUAAAGUCCAGAAAACUUGCAUGUACGUAUGAGAGUUGAGUGUAGGCAACAGCCUCUCUUGUUUAAUAAAAUCUCAGACGUUUAUAAUAAAAAGCA